CCAGACUCCUACGGGAGGCAGCAGUGAGGAAUAUUGGUCAAUGGUCGGGAGACUGAACCAGCCAAGCCGCGUGAGGGAUGAAGGUACAGAGUAUCGUAAACCUCUUUUGUCAGGGAACAAAGGCGGGGACGCGUCCCCGGAUGAGUGUACCUGAAGAAAAAGCAUCGGCUAACUCCGUGCCAGCAGCCGCGGUAAUACGGAGGAUGCGAGCGUUAUCCGGAUUUAUUGGGUUUAAAGGGUGCGCAGGCGGUUUGAAAGGCCGGGGGAAAACCCGGGGGCCCCAACCCCGCCCCGCCGUUGAAACUGGCAGUCUCGAGUUGGAGAGAAGUAUGCGGAAUGCGCGGUGUAGCGGUGAAAUGCAUAGAUAUCGCGCAGAACUCCGAUUGCGAAGGCAGCAUGCCGGCUCCACACUGACGCUGAGGCACGAAAGCGUGGGUAUCGAACAGGAUUAGAUACCCCUGUA
rnacentral:rRNA from 1 species